AGUCUGAUGCUGCUGGUGGCUAUUUUUUUUCUUACAUCUGAAGAAAAACUUUAGAAAAUGUAAUUGCUCCAAAAGAAGAGCCAAGAAAUGAAGAGAAAAUUCAUAAACAACUGGACUUAUCUAUGUGAAAGCAAGUCAACUUCUGGAAGCAAAAGAAAGGUUUUAAUGAAGAAGACUGCACCUUGGGAAGGUAAACGACUACAAUAAGGAUUAGCAAAGGAGAAGGAAACUCAGCAAGCCAAACAUUUGGCGACAGGCAAAACUGGUAUGUAAACCAAGGUGUUCAUAGCUGUGAAGCUGGUUCCAGUGUUCAUUUAUUCUGCAUUUAGUUUGUUUGUGGAAGUUGGAGUCUACGUUUUGUCAAGGGAAGAAGUAUGUUAGGCACCCAUGGUGGGGGCGGGGGGUGCAGGGGCUCUUCUUCAGUUUCUCCCUUAAAAGAUUCCCCUAAUUACUGGCAGCCUUCAGUCACAUAAUACA